UCUUAACAUAGGCAUUUUUCUUUACCUUGCCUGUAGUUCUGUGUGACUUUACAAAGGAAAAGGGUGAAGAAUUUGCAGUGAAAUUGUAUUUAUUUGUGAUAUAUGACUAGAGAUUCAUGUGAGUGCAGGUGCAGCUGUGUAUUCAUGCACGCACAUCAAACACGUAUUUUUAAUGUGAUACAUCUCACGUCACUGACUGGUUGAGGUCUCCACCUCCUUGCUUCACGUUAAACAUCUUCCCCAUCAGUUCUUGUGGCCUCUUUGGGGACCAUCCCGUGCCAGAAAUGUGGCGUGGUGUGAGCCAGGCUGUGGCUGCAUCCCUGCACAAACCAGGUAAGGCUUUUCCAGUUUCCAUCCUCACCUUGCCCUGUGAUAAAUCAAUAAAUGGGAGCAUGUGUGGAGAUUCCCCCAUGGAAAACAGAGCAAGCACUGGAGUGAUGGUGAGCACUGAAAUUCAGGGUUUUCCUCUGUGCAGUUUUUAGCAGUAAUGGGAAGCGUGAGGUCCAGCUGUGCUGACAGUUCCAUUUCCUCUCAUUCUCCUUUUGGACUUUCCAUGGCUCUAAACUGAUUUUCAGGCUUGUAGUCGCCAUCUUCUUGGGGAUACAGAAAGGUGAGGAUCAGUAUAAAUACCUGGUUAUUGUAUGGGGUCUCUCCAGCUGUUCUCCAGUGAGGCUAUUUAUGGGAUUUUUAAUUUCCCUUGGGGUUUUUUCCACAUGUAUUCUGCAGACAUGAAUAAUUACUGCAAAUUGUGUUUCUCUGUUGAGUGACACUUUUAUUUUUCAUUUCCAACGUGUGUGGCAUUGCAUUCAAGCACUUCAAAGGGAAGUGGCUGAAUUAAAUUGCUCACUUCCCUGCAAAGGAAGGUGGCUGUGGAGUGCAGUGCAGGGGACACGUCCUGACCCCCUUGGGAUGAUGUUGAGAUCCAAAUAUUGAGAGAUUCCUCUGCCCAAAUUAAUCUGCACAGGAGACCAUGCGGAGUCAAUAGUUGUGAUUUUAUUUAACAGUAAAUGGGAGGCAAAAGAAAGAAAUAGAAAAGAGAUGAGAGAGAUGAAGCAGAAGAUAUUUGUCAUCAACAUUUUAGGCAGUCCUUACAAAGGGAAAGCAAAACCAAACCCAAAUGUGACACUGGUUCUUAUUAAGGCAUUUUUGGUGCAUUCUCCUGUCGUUGGCUGCUCUUCCCAAAUUUCUUCCAUUCUCCCAUGGCUGUGCUUGCAUUUCCCCAGUGCUGCAAUCCCAAUUUCAAAGGAGUUUCCUCUCUCCAUCCUCCCCACGAGCAGUGCCAGUUCACUGCUCUGACGGGGGAAAACACAGAAAAGGAACUAAAAACCUUCCUGGACUCCAAAUAGAAUUCCGUAGCAGGAUCUGAAGGAAGCUGUGGGAGUGAAGAGGGAGCCAGGCACCGUUCCAGAGCAGUGUGACACAAAUUCCACGUGGGAUCAGCGCGGCUCACAGAACGCUCGGAGAGGCAGUGGGAGUCCACUUGCUGAAAUCCUGGAAUUUUCCAUCAUACUUGACCCUGCAUCCAACUAAACCUCACCUGCAGGGUGCUGAGCUCCCAGCUCCUGUCACGGCAGAAAAGGACAGAAAAGUGUUCUCUGUUCCACAAGAAAAGGAGACUGACAAGCUCUUCUUUCCAAGCUCCUUCCUCUCUACUCAGCCAAUUCUUCCACCUGCUGGUAAUAUCCUAAUGGCUUCAAGCCUCGUGCUCAGCUGAGGAAUGAGAUGCUCAAGCUCCUGGCUGUGACCCAUAUUUGCUCCUCUGGGGCAGAUCUGGUUGUGGUUGACCCACGAGUGACUUCACAUUGGAUUUAUCCCUGAAGAAGGAGCAGGAUUUGGUUCCUGCAGGCUCCUCCCAGCAGGAUUCUCUCCCAGACAAGGUGCUGAAGGUGCAUCUGAAGGCAGAGGUGUGGGAUGUGUUCCAGCAAUCCCAAGGAGUGGUU